AGUGAACGCUGGCGGUAGGCCUAACACAUGCAAGUCGAACGGAAGCACAGUAAGAGCUUGCUCUUACGGGUGGCGAGUGGCGGAUGAGUGAGGAAUACAUCGGAAUCUACUUUUUCGUGGGGGAUAACGUAGGGACACUUACGCUAAUACCGCAUACGACCUACGGGUGAAAGCAGGGGAUCUUCGGACCUUGCGCGAUUGUAUGAGCCGAUGUCGGAUUAGCUAGUUGGCGGGGUAAAGGACCACCAAGGCGACGAUCCGUAGCUGGUCUGAGAGGAUGAUCAGCCACACUGGAACUGAGACACGGUCCAGACUCCUACGGGAGGCAGCAGUGGGGAAUAUUGGACAAUGGGCGCAAGCCUGAUCCAGCCAUGCCGCGUGGGUGAAGAAGGUCUUCGGGUUGUAAAGCCCUUUUGUUGGGAAAGAAAAGCAGCAUGUUAAUACCCCGCUGUUCUGACGGUACCCAAAGAAUAAGCACCGGCUAACUUCGUG
rnacentral:rRNA from 1 species